UUGCGCGUGAAUUUGAAGGCU
rnacentral:miRNA from 1 species